rnacentral:rRNA from 1 species
GCCAGCCGCCGCGGUAACACCGGCAGCUCAAGUGGUAGCCGCUUUUAUUGGGCCUACAGCGUCCGUAGCCGGUCUGAUAAGUCUCUGGUGAAAUCCCACAGCUUAACUGUGGGAAUCGCUGGAGAUACUAUCAUAACUCGAGGUCGGGAGAGGCUGGAGGUACUCCCAGGGUAGGGGUGAAAUCCUGUAAUCCUGGGAGGACCACCUG